rnacentral:rRNA from 1 species
UACGUAGGUGACCAGCGUUGUCCGGAUUUACUGGGCGUAAAGAGCGCGCAGGCGGUCGUUCAAGUCGAGUGUGAAAGCCCCCCGGCUCAACUGGGGAGGGUCAUUCGAUACUGUCAUAGCUAGAGUCCGGUAGGGGCCCACGGAACUCCUGGUGUAGCGGUGAAAUGCGCAGAUAUCAGGAAGAACACCGAUGGCGAAGGGCAGUGGGCUGGGCCGGUACUGACGCUGAGGAGCGAAAGCGUGGGGAGCGAACAGG